AGGAUUAGGGUUAGGAUUGGGGUUAGGGUUAGGGUUAGGGUUAGGGCUUAGGAGGGUAGGUGCUAACCUAUGUGCACAGGCCAUCAGUGUUGCUCACUCAACUGGAUUCACUUCUCAUUCAGGCCUUGGGGAUAUGUAGUGCCUAAUUUAUUAAUCCAAAUUCUCUCUGCCCUUUUUCUCUGAAGCACGGACCACUGCAGGUUGGCCUCCAGGACCGUGACCCGGAAGGACCCCCAUCCGUGGCUCAGGAAGUGCUGUACCAGAUAAGUGUUCUUUUCUCUUUCUCUUAGGAUAUUGUAUUUAUGUUGUGUCAUUCUAACCAGAAUGGUGUUGCCCGUCUCUCCCACAUAUUGGGCUCCACAUUGUUUACAGGUGACCAGAUAAAUGCAGUUUUUACUGUGUACCGUGCCUAAUCGUUUCAGAGCGGCCGAGGAGAAUGUCAGGACGAGGGGCACGCUGGUGCCCUCUGCCGGGGUCCCUCUUGUCCGGUAGGAUUUAAAAACCUUCCUCAAGAAGGACCUAUUAUAUCCUCUGGGCCUGAGUGCUUUAAAGAGGGUUUGCGUCGCUUCUGUGAAGUCCUGUUCCCGGGUGCAUAUGCGAUGGAACCUCAGGAGUUGCGACUUAAUAAGGCCGGAGUGUGAACGAACUGCCCGUGUUCUGUCCUGCACCCUCUCCCUUGGUUCCUUCGAAAAGGAUUUUUGCCAGAACAUCAAAGUACCGGGUCCUGAACGGGCCCGAGGUUCAAAAAAUUGUGGUCUGUAAGACCGCUGAUAAGGCUCACUAUGGUGAGUUAUGGUCUUUGCUGCCCUCAUGUGGCCACCAUAUUUAACUGCUUCUGCAUAGGAGAGCAUUCUCUCUCCCUGUGCAUGAUGUUGAGUAUUGUGGUACGGACGGGGCAGAGGCCAGACUGUGCCCUGAAUGGCAUGCCUGCGUUUAUGUGUGACCACCGUCCAACCAUCUCUCUGUGGCAAAGCCAUGAUUUAGGAAAUUUUUUGUGAAAAAACAAAAGCAAGGACUUGUUAAAUAAAUUGAAGUCAGGAAAGUAUAACUCAAAAUCUGUCUUGUAUGUUUUUUUGUG